rnacentral:rRNA from 1 species
UACGGAGGGGGCUAGCGUUGUUCGGAAUUACUGGGCGUAAAGCGCGCGUAGGCGGCUUUGUAAGUUAGAGGUGAAAGCCCGGAGCUCAACUCCGGAAUUGCCUUUAAGACUGCAUCGCUAGAAUCAUGGAGAGGUUAGUGGAAUUCCGAGUGUAGAGGUGAAAAUUCGUAGAUAUUCGGAAGAACACCAGUGGCGAAGGCGACUAACUGGACAUGUAUUGACGCUGAGGUGCGAAAGCGUGGGGAGCAAACAGG